AUCGCCUCUUGCUAAACUGAAAGUAUAAGAGGUCCCGCCUGCCCUGUGACUAUAUGUUUAACGGCCGCGGUAUUUUGACCGUGCGAAGGUAGCGCAAUCACUUGUCUUUUAAAUGGGGACCUGUAUGAAUGGCAUAACGAGGGCUUAACUGUCUCCUUUUUCAAGUCAAUGAAAUUGAUCUCCCCGUGCAGAAGCGGGGAUAAACACAUAAGACGAGAAGACCCUAUGGAGCUUUAGACACUAAAGCAGAUCACUAUUAACACCCCUAACAACAGGGCACUAAAUCGACCGAACCCUGCCCUAAUGUCUUCGGUUGGGGCGACCGCGGAGAAAUAAAAAACCCCCGCAAGGACCGAAUGUACAACAUUCACAACCAAGAGCGACAGCUCUAAUUAACAGAACUUCUGACCAAUAAGAUCCGGCAAUGCCGAUCAAUGAACCAAGUUACCCUAGGGAUAACAGCGCAAUCUCCUCCUAGAGGCCAUAUCGACGAGGAGGUUUACGACCUCGAUGUUGGAUCAGGACAUCCUAAUGGUGCAGCCGCUAUUAAGGGUUCGUUUGUUCAACGAUUAAAGUCCUACGU
rnacentral:rRNA from 1 species